rnacentral:rRNA from 1 species
UCCGACCUCGGAUCAGACGGGACUACCCGCUGAAUUUAAGCAUAUCAGUAAGCGGAGGAAAAGAAACUAACCAGGAUUCCCUCAGUAACGGCGAGUGAAGCGGGAAGAGCC